GGGCUGCUUGACUCACACCUCCAUCAACAGACGCUUGGAAAUAAUGCACCAUGGCAGGUUUUCAAAUAUUUUUUCUUUCCUCCCUCCAGAGAGAAAAACAAAAGGGUAAAGAUGGCCUGAGGGAUUGGAUCAGAACAUUGUUUUACUGGAAUUUGCAGCUGUUUCUGGAUUGCAGAAGUCACUGGAGGGAAACAAUGUGCUCAGGGACUGAAGGAAAUGGUUUGGCUCCAAUCUGUCCCAAGUCAUCUGGGGAGGAAUGUUUUCAUUGUUGCAAAGGUUGCUACUCCACACAGAUUUUGCUUCUCUCUACAGAGAGUGUGUGUCUGAGGAGAGGCAUGGGAAAUUCACAUAGCAUGGGAGCAAAACAAGGCCAAGGGUGCUCCUCCUGCCAUGCAUCCUGUCAUGGAGGGAGCCUGUAGAAUACCUGCAGUUAGGCAGAAAUCAGGAUGAUCGAGUUAACAUGCAUCAUUAGGGCAGGCUCUAACUCAGUGUGACUGAUGUCCUUAUAAAAAGAGGAAAUUUAGACAGAGACAUACAGGCAUUGAGAGAGUACAAUGGGAAGACACAAAGAAAAGAUGGCCGUUUACAAGGCAAGGAAUACCUGAGGCUACAGAAGGAAGGAGAGAGACGAGGAACAGAGUCUGCCUCAUAGUCCUCAGAAGAGACAACCCUACCAACACUUUGAUUUCAGACUUCCAGCCUCCAGAACUGUGAAGCACAAUACAUUUCUGUUGUUUAAGCCACCAGUUUGUGGUGCUGUGUUUUGGCAGUCUCAGGAAACAA